rnacentral:rRNA from 1 species
UACGGGGGGGGCAAGCGUUGUUCGGAAUUACUGGGCGUAAAGGGCGUGUAGGCGGCCAACUAAGUCCGACGUGAAAUCCCCAGGCUUAACCUGGGAACUGCGUCGGAUACUGGAUGGCUUGAAUCCGGGAGAGGGAUGCGGAAUUCCAGGUGUAGCGGUGAAAUGCGUAGAUAUCUGGAGGAACACCGGUGGCGAAGGUGGCAUCCUGGACCGGCAUUGACGCUAAAGCGCGAAAGCCAGGGGAGCAAACGGG